AGUGAAGCUCCUUGGUCCAAAGUCAUGUGAACGAAAGAGAAAAGCCACCCCUCCCUCACCACGUACACACCUAACCCGCGGUGGUGGACAGGCGUGGGACAGCCACUGAAAGUCCUGUUCAAAACAAGGGCAAAGGGACAACGUACGAGAGUGACUGGUCCAUAGCAGUUGUGAAAUUCGGCCGGCGAAUGUUGGGAGCUCCUUGCUCAGGACUCAGCCUCACUCCUCCCAGGAAUGACUCACCGUUUACCCUUGGCUCUGCCCCCUGGGGUCUCAGCUUCACCCUCUGAGUCCUCCUUCCUCGUCCAUGAAAGCUGGUCUGUGUGCAGCUGUGUAGGUUUCUUGGCCUUCUUCCUGCCAGGAGAAGUUGGAGGACACAAAGCAAUUACAAGAAGAAACCAAGAAGUACUUUCAACAGUCCCUGGAAGUCUCCUUAGCUAGACCACACAGCUCAUUUGGCCAUGAGGCACGUGGGAUCCUAGCUUCCUGACCAGGGAUGGGACCCACACCCCCUGCAUUGGAAGACGAAGUCUCAACCACUUGACCGCCAGGGAAGUCCCCUCCACCUCCCCCAUUACUGCAGCCCUCGCUCUCAGCCUCUUCCAAGGGCAUCAGGACUUCAUGAAACACUCUUCGAGGCUCUUCACGCUUCCAAGGUCACUCUCCCCAGAGCCUUUCCAGGUUCUUCCCACUCUGCCUGUUCCCAAAGCCUCCCCCAUCUUUUGGGUUUUCGUUAUGGUGACGCUCUACAUGCUGACAGCACCAGUACAGUACACACCUGCUUAUGAUUCUGAAGCUUUACACAUCCUCGUCUCUCUGAAAUGUUUUCCACUAGUCUCUCUACCUGAUAAGCACCCAAAUCCCACUGUGUCUCCCGAUCCAGGUCAAAGCCCUUGUGUCCUUGUCAUACCCUCUCUAUAUUUCUCAUAGCAGUUGUCACAUUAC